rnacentral:rRNA from 1 species
AGGGCACCACCAGGAGUGGAGCCUGCGGCUUAAUUUGACUCAACACGGGAAAACUCACCCGGCCCGGACACUGGAAGGAUUGACAGAUUGAGAGCUCUUUCUUGAUUCAGUGGGUGGUGGUGCAUGGCCGUUCUUAGUUGGUGGAGUGAUUUGUCUGGUUAAUUCCGAUAACGAACGAGACUCUAGCCUACUAAAUAGAUCGUCGGCUUACAAACGCCGACGAGACUUCUUAGAGGGACAGGCGGUGAUUCAACCGCACGAAACAGAGCAAUAACAGGUCUGUGAUGCCCUUAGAUGUCCGGGGCCGCACGCGCGCUACACUGAAGUGAUCAGCGUGCUUUUGUCAACCUACUCUGUCAAGAGUGGGGAACCCAAUGAACCUUCUUCGUGAUUGGGAUAGGGGAUUGUAAUUAUUCCCCUUGAACGAGGAAUUCCCAGUAAGCGCGAGUCAUAAGCUCGCGUUGAUUACGUCCCUGCCCUUUGUACACGCCGCCCGUCGCUACUACCGAUUGAAUGUUU